GCAUAAUGACAUCAACCUACAGACUAGGUUACCAAGUAAACCAGGCUGACCUCAAGCUUUUCCUUCUCCUUCCCGGUCAUUCACUGAUGGGAUACAUAAUGACUUGGAAGUGGACACUCACUGCUUACUUUUUUGAGAGGAGGAAAGCAAAUGUGUGUACAAACUCGGUGGACCCAAGAUCCAUUUCCAAUACGUGCUGGUUAGAGAAGAUACUCACACCAUCUGUGAUGUUUAAUUUUAUGUAUCCCCUUAACUGGACCAGAGAAUGUCCAGGCUUUUGAUUAAUAUUUUUUGGGUGUGUUUGUGAGCGUGUUCCUGGAAGAAACAAGCAUUUAGGUUGAUGAGCUAAGGUGGGGUAGACAACCCUCUCCCAAGUGUAUAGGCAUCAUUCUGUCCCAGGACCCAAACAGG
ensembl:lncRNA